CGCGUUUUGUAGUGUAGGUGUCUGUGCCGCGCUUGUUUCUCUCCUUUUCAACGGUUACUUGUUUUGGUUUCGAUUCGGAGUUGGAUUUGAAUUGCGUUUUUAGAUCUUUCCUAUUAGAUCUAUCGAAAUAGUGAUUGAAAUCGGUUGAAUGUCGGAAUUUGUGUUUCGUAGGUUGGCUGUUCUGGGAAUGGACGGUGAUCUUGUGAUUCUGUUGGCGUCGAUCCCCUGGGAUGAUGAUCGUACAUCUAACUCUAUCUCAGAUCUUUCUUGUUAGAUUUAUCGAAAUUGUGAUAGAAAUCGGUUAAAUCUCGGAUUUUGUGUUUCGUAGGUUGGCUGUUCUUGGAAUGGACGGUGAUCUUGUGAUUUUGUUGGCGUUGAUCCGUUGUGACGAUGAUAGUACAUCUAACUCUAACCUUUUUUUUUUUUUUGAGAUCUGACUAAAUCGAUCAGUUUUGAUGUUUAUUCUUCUCGGAGUUUUUAGAAAAGUUUUGGUACCGUUCAAUUUUGAAACAUAAUGAAUAUUGGCUCUCUUUUCAGUUAAUCAUCUGGUGCGGAUGGACAGAUGGUUCUUUGGGUUCCUUUCCUUUAUUACGAGUUCUAUAUCUUGUUUUGUUUUGGAACUUUGGUAGAUGUUACAAUAUAUGGUUUCUGACUGCAGUGAUGCUGCUGGCUUUGCUUUUCUAAAGUGCUGAUCCUUGAACUUCCUUAUGGCCGUGAUCGCCGACCUCUAUUUUGAUUAAAUCGAUCUGUUUUGGUAUUUAUUCUUCUCAGAGUUUUCACAAAAGUUUCGGUACCGUUCCAUGUUGAACAUAACGAUGAUGUUGCUGGCUUUCCUUUUCUAAAGUGCUGAUCCUUGAAAAUUUCCUCAUGGCCGUGAUCACCACUAUCACUAGGGCUGUUUCUCCUUCCACGUUGUGAAUAAUUUUUUCUUUUGAAGUUAAUUAGUAAUAUGUCAGGAGAUGAAAGAUUAUUCGUACUUUUUGUGAAUUUUGGUAGGAAUUUUUCUGCAAUUUCUGUGGGUUAGUCACAUUAUGUUGGGAGUGUGAAAAAUUUUAUAUAUUGGAUCAAUGGAGUCUGAAGAGAGAAAGGGGUAAGUGAAUGCAGAGACAAUUGAUGGUAUGAUUCAUCAAUGGAAUUUAUCUUGAUGUUUUACAGGCAGUGAUCACCUUGCUUAAUGCAUUUUUGCAGAUGCAUAGACAAUUAAUGAUCAUGGUCAAUGUUAUGUCUUCACAUGAUAAUUCAUAAAUAUGGUGUUUUCAGACAUGAUAACCUUGCUCAGUGAUCUUCUUUAUGUGUUUGUGUUUUUAAGGUGGGAAAGACAUUUUCAGAUUUCAAGUUUUUGCGCGUUCAAAUUUUGGGCUUUUGUAUCUGGACAUUUGCUACCGAACAGUUUUUUAUCAGUGGUGGAAAAUUGAUCAUGGCUUUUAUCAGUUUGCUUGAUAAAGGCUUUCGUGUGCAGUGGUUGGCUGGGCAUUGUGAUGGGGAAAAAUUUAAGUCUUCAUUCUUGCUGUUAAUUUCUUGUUCAUUGUUGCAAGAUCUUUUACUUUGAUCCUUCUGUUUUAAAACAAAUUUAAAAAUUAAAGCCGUCUGCCCUUUGUGUGCCUUGUUUUUCAGUUGACCAUUUUUUCUCUUGACAAAUCUGGACUCCUGGUUUUCAUAGGCAGUUUUUGACAGCAGCAAUUUUGAAAUUCUACCUUAAGCAGAUAACACAAAUAUACUAUGGUUACUUACAACUAUUUUUAUAAAUAUUUUCGCACCCUUGAUUAGGAUUUCUUGGAUUUUAUUGAUUUGAAUAUCUUUUAACGGUUUUGUUUGAUCAGGGUCAGUUGGAUUUUAAAUUUUGGAGUCCUGUCUCAAUUCCUAAGGAGAUCUGCUUCCUGGUUCUUAUCGUGUCUCUUCAAAAUUUUUAGUUUGGAGCUUUUAGCAUCUCGUGUAGUUAAUGUCACUGAGCAUUAUAUGGCUUUUUGACCCUUUUAUUGUUUUAGAUGCUGAUGUGUAAUCAGUUUUCAAAAUUAAAAGCAGGAAGGGCAAGGAUGAAGGAUCUUGCUGCAGUUGGAGUGGGCUGUUGUUAGAAAUUACGACCAUUACGUAGGGAGAAUGAGAUCAUAUAUAGCUUUGUUAUCUCUUUAUGGAUGGAGCUUGGGAUGGAGGCAUUGGGUAAGUAGAUGAGGAGUCAAGGCCAAUUAAUUGUUUAUGUCUUACAUUUACUUAAAAUCUGCUUAAUAUAACUCAAGAUAAGUACAGGUUUGUGCUGUAGAUUUAGGUUUGGAAAGAUUCUGGCGGUCGCUUGUUUCAAAAGGUUGCGGACAACCUUGCUGGUUGGGACAGUAAUCUUAUUCAGACUUUUCUCUUGUGUUCAUGAUAUAUAUGAGUACUUUUGUGAUUGUAGGUAGCAGAUAUUUCUUAGGUUUUAAAAGUUCUGCACUAAUGUAUAUUCCAGUUGUGCUUUCAUUUCUUGGAUUUGUGAAGUUUGGAUUUAAUUUGUAAUUUUUACUACAUGUUGGUUGGGCUUUACCAAUGGAGAAAUUUUUACUCAGCCGUCAUUUCUGCUAUGGAUUCCUGUGUUCUGUGUACUUUUAACUUUUACCUCUUUAUACAGUUUUUUUUUUCUUCUUAAUUGUUUCCACCAUUUUUUAGGACUCUUGGUAUCUAAGACUUCCAUUGGAUUUUCUUGGAUUUUCGCAUCUCUCUGGUAUACUUAAUUUUGGAGGAUUUUGUUUUGGUACUGAGCAUGAUAUGCCUUUAUGACCCUUUUAUUUUCGGAUUCUGUUUGGGGAUUUUGCUUUAUGACCCUUUUAUUUGCAAAAUUGUAAGGAUGAAGGAUUUUGCUUUUGCUUGGUCUUAAAAUCUGAUUUGCAUUAUUGCUUGGAAGGUAGAUAGGUUUAUAAAGUAUAGGCAGCAGACUUGAAGCUUGUUAGAAAUUUUACUUGCAUUUUUUUUUCUUUAUUUUGGUUAUAUUUUUAUUGUAUUGCACAAAAUUGUAA